AUGAACGCUAGCGGCAGGCUUAACACAUGCAAGUCGAGGGGCAACACGGGUAGCAAUACCUGGUGGCGACCGGCGCAAGGGUGCGUAACGCGUGAGCAACAUGCCCUAUACAGGGGGAUAAUCCAGGGAAACUUGGUCUAAUAUCCCAUAGUAUUUAGAGGUGGCAUCACCACUAAAUUAAAGCUUCGGUGGUAUAGGAUUGGCUCGCGUGACAUUAGCUGGAUGGUGGGGUAACGGCUCACCAUGGCGAUGAUGUCUAGGGGUUCUGAGAGGAAGACCCCCCACACUGGGACUGAGACACGGCCCAGACUCCCACGGGAGGCAGCAGUGAGGAAUAUUGGACAAUGGAUGGAAAUCUGAUCCAGCCAUGCCGCGUGCAGGAAGACGGCCCUAUGGGUUGUAAACUGCUUUUAUAUGGGAGCAAUAAGGUUUACGCGUAGACCGAUGAGAGUACCAUAUGAAUAAGCAUCGGCUAACUCCGUG
rnacentral:rRNA from 1 species